GAUGAAGAACGUAGCGAAAUGCGAUACUUGGUGUGAAUUGCAGAAUCCCGUGAACCAUCGAGUCUUCGAACGCAAGUUGCGCCCGAAGCCAUUAGGCCGAGGGCACGCCUGCCUGGGUGUCACACACCGUUACCCUCGCGCCAACGUCCAUCGUUGGCCGCGACGCGGGGCGUGCGCUGACCUCCCGCGAGCGGGGUCUCGUGGUUGGUUGAAAAUCGAGUUCGCGGUCGAGGGUGCCGUGAUGAAAUGGUGGAUGGGCGACGCCCGAGACCAAUCACGCGCGACUCUGUCCGGCUCGGACUCCUGGACCCCUUCGGCGUCUCCGGACGCUCUUUGGCGAGACCUCAGGUCAGGCAGGGCUACCCGCUGAGUUUAAGCAUAUCAAUAAGCGGAGGA
rnacentral:misc_RNA from 1 species